UAGACUUUGAUCCUGGCUCAGGAUGAACGCUGACAGAAUGCUUACACAUGCAAGUCAACUUGAAUUGGGUUUAACUUAGAUUUCGGGUGGCGACGGGUGAGUAACGCGUAAAGAACUUGCCUCACUAGCUAGGGACAACAUUUAGAAUGAAUGCUAAUACCUGAUAUUAUGAUUUUAAGGCAUCUUAGAAUUAUGAAAGCUAUAAGCACUGUGAGAGAGCUUUGCGUCCCAUUAGCUAGUUGGAGAGGUAACAGCUCACCAAGGCGAUGAUGGGUAGCCGGCCUGAGAGGGUGAACGGCCACAAGGGGACUGAGACACGGCCCUUACUCCUACGGGAGGCAGCAGUGGGGAAUAUUGGACAAUGGACCGAGAGUCUGAUCCAGCAAUUCUGUGUGCACGAUGAAGUUUUUCGGAAUGUAAAGUGCUUUCAGUUGGGAAGAAAAAAUGACGGUACCAACAGAAGAAGUGACGGCUAAAGUACGUG
rnacentral:rRNA from 1 species